AGUGAACGCUGGCGGUAGGCCUAACACAUGCAAGUCGAACGGCAGCACAGUAAGAGCUUGCUCUUAUGGGUGGCGAGUGGCGGACGGGUGAGGAAUACAUCGGAAUCUACCUUUUCGUGGGGGAUAACGUAGGGAAACUUACGCUAAUACCGCAUACGACCUCGGUGAAAGACAGGGACCGUUCGGCCGUUCGUCGCGGA
rnacentral:rRNA from 1 species